CUUUUAUCAGCUCUAAAACGGCUAAUGAAUAAGGGGUGGGCAAGCCUGGUGUCAGCCGCCGCGGUAAUACCAGCACCCCGAGUGGUCGGGAUGAUUAUUGGGCCUAAAGCAUCCGUAGCCGGUCUUACAAGUCUUCUGUUAAAUCCACCUGCUCAACAGUUGGGCUGCGGGAGAUACUGUAAGACUAGGAGGCGGGAGAGGUGGGGGGUAUUCCUUGGGUAGGGGUAAAAUCCUCUGAUCCAUGGAGGACCACCAGUGGCGAAGGCGUCCCACCAGAACGCGCUCGACGGUGAGGGAUGAAAGCUGGGGGAGCAAACCGGAUUAGAUACCCGGGUAGUCCCAGCUGUAAACGAUGCAGGCUCUGUGAUGGGUUGGGUUCGACCCAACCCAGUGCCGCAGGGAAGCCGUUAAGCCUGCCGCCUGGGGAGUACGGUCGCAAGACUGAAA
rnacentral:rRNA from 2 species